GACGAACCGUGCGAACGUUAUUCGGAAUCACUGGGCUUAAAGCGCGUGUAGGCGGAAGGGCACGUCCGUUGCUGAAAUCCCCCGGCUCAACCGGGGAACGGGCGCGGAUACGACUCUUCUGGAGGGGCGUAGGGGGACCUGGAACUUCCGGUGGAGCGGUGAAAUGCGUUGAGAUCGGAAGGAACGCCCGUGGCGAAAGCGAGGUCCUGGACGCCUACUGACGCUGAGACGCGAAAAGCCAGGGGGAGCGAACGGG
rnacentral:rRNA from 1 species